AACGAACGCUGGCGGCGUGGAUAAGACAUGCAAGUCGAACGCUAGUUUAUUUAUAGCAAUAUACGUGAACUGGAGUGGCGAAAGGGUGCGUAACACGUAGCUACCUACCUCGAAGUUGGGGAUAGCUCGCCGAAAGGCGAAUUAAUACCGAAUGUGAUCGAAAGAUUAAAGCUGGGGAUCGUAAGACCUGGCGCUUUAAGAUGGGGCUGCGGCCUAUCAGCUAGUUGGUGAGGUAACGGCUCACCAAGGCAAAGACGGGUAGCUGGUCUGAGAGGACGACCAGUCACACUGGAACUGAGACACGGGUCCAGACACCUACGGGUGGCAGCAGUCGAGGAUUUUUUCUCAAUGGGGGAAACCCUGAAGGAGCGACGCCGCGUGAGGGAUGAAGGUCUUUGGGAUUGUAAACCUCUGUCAUCUGGGAACAA
rnacentral:rRNA from 1 species